AAACAUUAGUAGAAUUAAAAGUAUUGGUAGGCACACUGGAUUGGCCAAAAAUGGCGUUUUCGCUAUUUUCGCUCGGCUGAAAAUCACUAGCCGACUUGUUUCCUUCGUUGUUGUAGUUGCACGUCAUGUUGACGUUUGAGAACUUUUGAUCCGUGAAAUCCAGCUCCAGGGUAAACUCCGUAUGAGAGUCGACAUGCCGAAUAUGAUCAAUACUCCAAUGGAUAACAUGGUUCGGAGUAAGCGUGGCUAUCAAAUCCAAGCCCCGAUGCCCGUGCAACAACCUGUCGUUUCCUCUUCAGGAUUCUACAGCGUUCCAUCAAACCAUCAAGUCGCUUACAACCAAGGAAAUUUCUCGAGGAGUACACGCAUAGGAAUAAAUCAAUCACCAUCUUGUAAUAAUGGCAAUAGUUCUCAAAUUCUGGUUAUGAAAAUUCCCAAAUUACUACACCUAGCAGUAUGACCCAUAAGAACUCGUACGGUUUACUACAAGACAGGCACAUCGCUGAACAACCUGCUUAUGUCCAGCUGGGAAAUAAUUUAAGAUACACCAGAGCUAGUAACAACUCUACUACCAAUCUUACGCCUUUGUCCCAGUAUUCCAAUGACUCUUAUUGACAAUCAACUUUGAAUCAGAAUUAUUAUACUGCAGGAUACAAUGAUCAGUCGCAAAGCCAAGAUUCGACAACUGCGAGUAAUAUUAAAGAACGUCGUAACGAUACAACUUAUCAGCAAGUAUCCAGCGGGAAUCCAACGACAUCAAUGUCACCUCCAACAGAAGUCAUGACAAAACCCAUUGAAAUAGAACCUGAAGCACCCCUGGUGCUUGAAAUGCAUUCCAUUGAGAAAAUUUCCAAAGAAGAACCGAUUACGAGUCCGAAGUUACCAGAAACUAAUGACAAACGAAAAGAAAGUCUCGAAAGCUCUCAUCACUUCAAUAAUAAGCUUGAGAAUCUUCAGAUCGUGUGGGACACAUGAUACACUGAUGUUCAACCCAAACGUUAUCCCCUCUGCAAUCCUAUCACACUGCAAAAAUUUAACAUGGACAUUGAAAAUAAUGAGAAAUUUGUGGAUAGUUUGACAGUCAAAACACUCAGUGGUUCGACCAGUUUAGAUAUCAAAUAUGGAGCGAAAUAACCGACAACGAGUAACAGAAAACGAAGACGAACUUUCAACGGAUAAUGAGGGAAAGGCAAGUAGAGACAGUUCGUUGGAACACUCAUGUUUCGACGCGUUCAAACGGAAUGCAGAAAUUUUUACACGAAGCUCCAAAAACGUAGAUAAUUUUUCUCAGACAACCGCGAGUCCUUCGCCAGACGACGAGAUUUAUUCUUCUCGAAAGUCAGUUCCACGUAGAUCGAAAAAAAAGUCAAAAACCCGUAGAACAAGUGACACGUAAUCGGAUUUUGAAAAACGAAAAGAUCGUAAAAAAUCUUGCACCCACGAAAUAUCCCCAGAAUUGAAUCAUUUGCGAAUCUCUCCAGAAGUUCCGGAAUUAGAUUUUUACAAUAGAAACGACGAAAUUUUCACCCAAAGCUUCAAAAAUCAGGAUGAGGAUUCGAGAGCUGAAUCCCCGCUGUCGGAUAAAGAAACGCUCAGAGUUAGAAGUUCAAUUAUUUCGUUAUCGAGCCCGGAACCAAAUGUGAAUCGAACAAAGAAAAUUCACAGGAGAAUAACGAAAGUUCUGGCCAUUUACAGAAGAGUGAGGAAAAUUUUUUCGACCGAUUUUCACCCAUUCAUUUCGAGGAAUUGCAAUAGUCCUGAGCCUUGCACCAGUCGUAAGAGGUAUUCGCCAUGUUUUCUAUAGUUCCUCGAACUCUGUGAGGAAAUUGAUGUCACGCUCCAUUUCAAUGCCCUGUGACAAUGUCACAGGAACUCACAUCACCAAGAAAUUAUGAUGAAAUAGAUACACCGGAAUUGAAGCGAGAACUAGAUAAAUAUGGCAUAAAACCGCAGAAGAGAAAGAGAGCCAGACAGUUAUUGAAGCAUAUCUACAAUGAGUUACAUCAAAAAGUUCCAGCUACAAGCCCGGGAAAAAAUGCACUGGAUAUGCAACAGUGUAGAAGAAGGCGAUGACGAAGAGCCUCCGCCUAAAAGAACUGGAAGGAUAAGCGCUCAUAAUCUAAGUGAUUCGGAAUCCGAUCGCAAUAUUGCAUUGUCGUAAGAGAGUUUAUUGAGUUCGGGCUUGUCCGUUAUACCGAAAGAAGUAGAAUUUCCGAAACCAAAUCGAUCUCCGAAAGCAGUAGCUGAACCAAUCAGCAUUAAAGAAGCUUUCGUCGAGCUGAUGAAUGCCGAUAACAAAUUGCACGCUUAAGUGCUGACUUAUGAUCCGUUGCUAUUCGAAGUAUUGUAUUCGACGCUCAAGGCACAAGGCUUAAAGUGCAAACAAAAUCAUUUAAAGGAUUUCUUGAACGAAGAAUGGAAAAUAUCAGACUUCAAGAUUCAUUGCUUUCUCGAUUUGAUCUUCGAUUCAUGAUGUUGGGUGUCAUAGAUACCGAUCAAGAUCAGCGAUCGAAUAUUGAACAUUAAAUUCAUACGAAAGUAUAUUCACGUCAUUUGAUGCAUGAAACCAAAGCUCACGGAAGAAACGAGCAAAACAAUUGCUGAAUUCAAACAUUUGCUACCCAAUACUUAGAUCGGAAGAUAUGGCUGAAUCAGAUAUUACGAAGACACAACAGACAGAUAACAGCACGUACUUUGAAAACCCCUAUAAAGUUGUCAAAAAAUGUGAGCGAGCUCGUUCAGUUGGUGUAUUUCAAACGCGUAUUUAAGAAGGAAAAGUGUGGCGAAGGACAAAGACGUGAUAGUUAGGAUGGCGUGGUCAGUGAAGAAUAAGAAGAUGAAUCGAGAAAGCCGAAACACUCGAGGAGAAAGAAAACUGUACGCAUUCUACAGUCGCUACUGCGGCUCUCAUGGAAAGUCCAACUAAUACUGUACAAUCGCAAGCACCAGAAUGAAGAUCGAAGAUUGAACACCGAUGACCAUUUCUACGGAUAGAUCCAAAGUGUGAUGAGAGAAAGCCGAAAAGAGUGGGUGUAUACUUCCAAGCCUGUCCCCAAAUCAAAGUUGUCAACAGUAGGUUUCAAGAUGGAGGAAAAAAAGGGUUCCUGUUGAAGAAUGGCUCCAAGUUUCGAGUUAUUAAAAUAGGUAAAAUGGCUGUGGAUCUUCAAGAAACAUGUGGAUUCGAUGCAAUAAUGAAUUUAUUGCAAUUUGGCGCUAUUAAUGAUCCUAAUUACUAUUCUUUCGUCAAAUCGUCGGGUAAUAAAGCAUUGCAGUUCUUGUCAAAAUUUAUUGAGAUCGGAACAAAUACCACAAUACUUCAACAGCGCAUCACUCUUUUGAGCGAGUUUUAUCCAAUGUUAAAAAAGCCCGGAGCUUCAUCAAUUGAAGUAUUCAAGAUGAACGUCAACGACUCGAUUACGACCAUAUGGAAACAUCUUUUUUGUUCUGAACCGGCUGAGCCCAGUGCAACCAAAUCACGCGUAUGCAGCAGUCCAUUGUGCAUACAAUCUUUACCGAUAAAUAUUCCAUUCUUUGAAGUAAACACCUGGAGAAUCAACUCCAAAGGCAUUGGAGCGCUCCAAGAGGCAGUCAUAUUCCAUUAAUAUUACUACAACGUCAAAUGCCGGCAAAAAGAUUGUCAGGGAAGCGCUACUGAGACAAUUAGCCCAAAUUCUCAAAUUUUUAUUGAUUUGGACACUAGGACGCACAUCAAUAAGCACAAGAUGGUUUAAUGUCAGUUAGCAGAUAUCCCAGUAACUCUUCGGUUUGUCGAGAAAUACCACUACCAAUUGAUCGGUGUUAUCGAAUAUAGUCAUCAACACUUUAUCUCUUAUGGCCGAAAAUUGUCUGGGUAGUGGGUUGAAUUGGACGACAUGAAAACUGAAAUCAUCGGAUGCCGCUCGACUAAAAGAAUUACGCCAAUUGGCGCUGUUUAUGUUGCAUAGUGAAAACUAGAGUUUUUUACAUCGCUACAACAUUACAAUCAUGAUUCUUUGAGGAUCGUCAUAAAGGGUUUAAGUUCACCAACUAUUUCAUUAUCCAGACGGAUCGUCGAUAUUCUCGUGAUUGGAACACUCACCAUUCUAUUCUGAUUGUGUAUUUUUCUCAGCGUUGCUAAUGUUUUCACCGAAUCUGUGAUCCGAAGAUUAGUACUUCACGUUUAACCUGUUAAAUAAUUUUUAUGUGAAUUUUCGUACGAGAAAUCCAUGUACUACGUGAAAUGGUAUUCACAUGAAGCAAUGAGCGUGAUUCAUUCAAAAUUAUUAUAAUUUUGACCCUCCGUAAAACAUUUUUUUCUCAAAUUUUACUUUGCAAAUAGCAAAUGAAUAAUUUCUGUUUAAAACAAUUUUAGGAAAAAUAACACGCUAAAGUAAUCAGAAAAACAUGUUUUUGCAAGCCAAAAUUUACACGCAAAUAUAAUUUUUAAGUCAGAGUUGAAUUUUGAUAUGAAAAGAAAUUUGAAUAGAAGAAUUUACAAAUUAUAAAUCACUUGAAAAGCAUUUAUUUUAACACUAGUUCGAUUUAGUUUACCGUACUUAUGGAUAAUCAAUUUCUUUCAUGAUCUCGUCGAGUCGAAUAGCACCUUCAAACGGAAUUUUGAUAUUCAUUUUUCCGACAUAACUCAUUAUUUUAGCCGGCUCGAAUCCAGCAGUGUUAUGGUCGAAACAAAAUAGUUAAAGAAAAUUCUAAAGGUUUAAAAAAAUACAAAAUCUUAUGGAUUCAUUGAGAUUUUUAGUUUGCGUUGAAAAUCUCAGAUCAUUCAACAGGAGAGAUGUAGCGAGUCGUACUCGAACGCGUUCAAUACCACGAAUGCUUCCAAACUUCCAAUUCAUUUUCUGACAAAUACAAAGUAAUUAAAUGUUGCCUCUUAGUGUACACCAUUAAAAGUUCGGGUUGAAGAUUAGGAAAUUUCUUUGGAAAGCAAAGAUACUGAUAUAAAGUUACGAAAAAUGAAGUCGAACAUCGAGAAGCUUGUCCGUCCCAAGAAUUUUGUUUCUUCAGUUUCCAAUUCGAAGAUGAAUCGUUAAAAAUAGAAACAUCACCGCGAAAAGUUAUUCGAAAUACGGUAAAAUACCAGCGAGAUGUUCAUUUUCUAUAAAAGUUGUCAAGGCUUUAUUUGUAAUAAUAAAAUAUAAAAUGUUAUAAAUCA